rnacentral:rRNA from 1 species
GACGAACGCUGGCGGCAUGCCUAAUACAUGCAAGUCGAGCGAACAGAUGAAGUGCUUGCACUUCUGACGUUAGCGGCGAACGGGUGAGUAACACGUAAGGAAUCUACCUAUAAGCGGGGGAUAACAUUCGGAAACGGGUGCUAAUACCGCAUAAUAUCUUCUUCCGCAAUGGAAGAAGAUUGAAAGACGGCUCUGCUGUCACUUAUAGAUGACCUUGCGGUGCAUUAGUUAGUUGGUGGGGUAACGGCCUACCAAGACGAUGAUGCAUAGCCGACCUGAGAGGGUGAUCGGCACAUUGGGACUGAGACACGGGCCCAAACUCCUACGGGAGGCAGCAGUAGGGAAUCUUCCGCAAUGGGCGAAAGCCUGACGGAGCGAAUGCCGCGUGAGUGAAGAAGGCCUU